rnacentral:lncRNA from 1 species
CUUUUUCUUCAACAUUCAAUUUCAAUUAAUCACAAAUGAAUUCACGCUCAUUUAUUGAAAACUUGUUCGAUGUCGGAGUCGGAAAUGAAGCAAAUGUGUCCCAUAAUCAAUAUGGGAAUCAAUAUGGGAAUGAGUUCUCCGGUCUAAAUGAAGUACCCAUUUCAGAAAAUAUUGAAGAUUACAAUGUUCAUGAAAGUACUCAUCAAAUUAAUUUGGAUGACGUUGAUGCUGAGGCUCCAAUUGAUUUGGAACAGGAUGAUGAACCUGUUAUUGAAAUUCCCGAUGCAAGAGGGAAGAGAAAGGUAAAGAAGCAUGCAAAAUGUUGGAAUCAUUUUAAAUUGGUUCAAACUAGUCGUAUGGUCGAUGGAAUUCCAG